AAAAAAGUGCACACAACACAAUUAUUUUCAAAAAUAAUUAUUUUUUUGCAUAGGUGCACCUCUCUUCAAAAAGGCACGCGCCUCGCCUUGCGCCUCUUGCCUCAGGCCCAAUAGAACUUUGCGCCUCGGUACGCCUUUCGCCCUGGACAACUAUGGUUGAGUGCAUCUAUUUGUAACCUAUAAUCCAAUGUUAAAGAUAGUUCUCUUACGAUUUUUAUGUUAAUAAUUUCAAAAGAAAAAGUGGCGUUGGUUUGUAGUAGUUUAUAGAAAUAUGUUUUCUAGAGAAUUGGUUAUUCGGAAUCAUUUGGGUGGUAUGGAUGUCUCCUAACUUCAGUGACUGUGUUGAAGGAGUCAGGAGUCUGCCUGCGCAGAAUAUUUUCCUUUCAUUUUGUUUGUGGAAGAACAGAUAUACCCUGCCAUCUUCGAAAAUGGCCUACUGCAAUAUUUUAUUUUAUGCCUUCUAUUUUGUGAUUCAUUACACCUGUUUCUGAACAAUUUGAGCAUUUCUUUAACAUAGACAAUCCUGUUUAGCUGCUUUAUAUCCAGGAAACUAGUUACUUUACUGCUAGAAAAGACGUGGGUCAUUUGAGUACAGCUGUUCAUUUUAGGAUGCAGGGUUUGUUGAGUUUGUUUAACUUAGGAUUUAGGAAUAAAAGAAUUAUGAAAGUGAAACUUGUAUACAGUGAAGUGAAAGAGAAAUCUAUUUCCUUCAUGUAUUUGGUUAGGAUAGAAUGUUUCUCCGGAAGUUCAAGUAACGUAAGAAUUUCAUUAACUUGGAUACCAUGAAAAUCUCGAGAAAAAGGUUGUUUUUGCCAAAUUAAACCCUAUGCAGAUCGUUCAAAUGUCUUGCUUAUGAACAAGUUGUAGAAAAAGAAGAAUGCAUCCGACAUUCAAGUUGAAGAUAAGCACUUUCAGGGGGGAUGUAAUUUCUCUUCUGUCCUCUCUUUUUGUUGUUCUACAGAAAAUAGAUAGCUGGGUUUACAUGCAUACGAGGGUGGAUUGUACGGAGAACUUUAUUUUCUUGCACUUUCUGCCUAUCGGUUGCAAGACAACACCAGUUAACGGAUCCUUUUGUACUUGGGGGAUUUACCUUCAGGUUGUAGGCAACUUUAGGCUUUGUUUUCAGUCUUCAAUUGGAUUUAGUAGGCAACGUUAGGCUUUGUUUUCAGUCUUCAAUUGGAUCUAUAGUCUGAUUAUACUUCUGAGAGUUUGAGGCGGUGGCAGUUUCUGGGGAUGGUUUUGGCUGCCAGGGAUGGUAUGGGAACAAUUUUCUUCAAGUAUAUAUGCCUUGGUUGCCAUUUGCCCUAUGUAUGGCCUACCAAAUGUUUUUGUCUGAGAUUCUGAUAGGACAACCUUACAAGAUUGUUCUUGAAGUUCCAAUUUGUGGCCUACAUGGUAAUGUUUGUUUCCUUCCUUGAUACUAAAGGAUAAAAAUCUUGCUUAUGAGCUGUUCUCCUCCGGGAAUGCGGCUUGUUGUGUCAGAACCAGACACUUUUUCGACACUUGAGGGACGAACCUUUUCAUCAUUCAGAUGUACAUGAAUAACUUUACUAGCUUCUGAUAAAAAUAACUUGUGGCGCUAUUAUAACAUAAACCAGGUAGAUUUAUGUACUUUUAAGACAUGAAUAUUAGCCAUCCGUUGUGUUAUAGCUCUUACUACGUACAUGAUCUGGUGUGUUUUAUUAGUUUUGAGUUGAUGUAAUUGCUUUUGGAUGUUGUACUCGUCUUUCAUGUUGUGGAAUAUAUGGUAUUUUUAAUGUUAACUAGUUAUAUGUCCCGCUUCCAAAUAGAGUAGUUUUAUACUUUUAUAGAGGAGUUUUAAAAACGUUGAUAGGAUACAUUUAUUAAUAUGCUUGACAUGUCGUCUCUGGAAUUUUUAAGAACUUCAGUUCGAGUGGUUUGGAAUGCGAAGCCAACAAUGAUCUAACAACGAACUCUAUGGGAGUCUCUUCGUGGAGCAAGAGUGAUAGGACCCUCUCAAAAGAGGCAAGAUGUCAAGGUAAGAGAUUAUUUACCACUCGAGUUCGAAACAACAAGGUUUUUCUAAACUUCUGCUCAAAUGGGAUCAAUUGUGAGAGAUGAAAAUUUGUUGGAAGUGUGUACUCAGCACUUGAUUCUAAUCGAUUUGAGACCGUUGGGUUUCUUGGAUUAGUAUGGCUAUAGUUUGGAGGAAUGGCAUCUGGGUAAAUGAGGUUAUUCUCCUGCUGAAAUCUUUACAUGGUAAUUACACAGAAAAAGGAAUCUUUGCAUCAUGAUAUGAGGCUUUCAACUGAGGUUUGGGAGUAAGAAUUCUGUUCUUCCUAACUGUGUCGGAGCAGCAGCUUGAGCUUCUGUGUUAAAUGAUCUUUGCCAUGUGUAAAUGCUUUACCGAGCCUAAUUGGGUUUUUUGUUAGGAGAUGAAUUGCUCUACAAUCUCGGUGAUUUGGGGACGAGAGACUGCAAGAAUUUUGGAAGAAUAAAUCUCAUUUGUUUGUUGUAGAGUAAUUGUCUGUCGUAGUUGUUGUACUAUGUGUUAUGGUUUGUUGUGGAGACCCGGGAAUAGUUCUCUUUCUGGUUCUUGACAUCUUCUACUUUGAAGAUAAUCUUUAACUGGAGGAUUGUUGAGGUUUGUUUCUCCAUGAAAACAGUGCUUAGGGUCAACGGAAGAGCAUCUAAGAAGGAAAUAAAAGGUUUUUAGUGGCUUAUUUCGGCCACCACCAUAUA